AUGGUACGAGGCCUGCCAUGCCUCGACCAUGUGGAGCAGUUCUGCGACAUCUGCGUACUGACGAAGCAGAGACGACUCCCCUUUCCCCAACAGGCGAGUUUUCGGGCCAAGGAGAAGCUGGAGCUCGUGCACGGAGACUUGUGCGGCCCGGUGACGCCAGUCACACCAGGAGGUCGACGCUACUUCCUGCUGCUCGUCGACGAUCUCUCUCGCUACAUGUGGGCGAUGAUUCUCGGCAGCAAGGGAGAAGCGGCGGACGCCAUCAGGCGCGCGCAGGUUGGUGUGGAGGCGGAGAGCAGCCACAAAUUGCGCGUGUUGCGCACUGACAACGGCGGUGAAUUCACGGCGGCUGAAUUCGCGUCGUACUGCGCCGAUGAGGGCAUCCAGCGCCACUACUCCGCGCCGUACAGCCCGCAGCAAAACGGAAGAGGGAUGUCGGCUGUUUUCUGGGGAGAGGCGGUGCUGACGGCCGUCUACAUCCUCAACCGCUCGCCUACAAAGGCACUCGACGGCAGGACACCGUACGAGGCCUGGCAUGGGCGGAAGCCGGCGGUCUCCCAUUUGCGGGUCUUUGGCUGUCUUGCGUUCGCUAAGGAGCUCGGCCACAUCGGCAAGCUCGACGACAGGAGCACUCCGGGAGUCUUCAUCGGCUACGCGGAGGGCUCAAAGGCCUACCGCAUCCUCGACCCAAAGACACAGCGUGUGCGCACGGCGCGAGACGUCGUGUUCAACAAAGGGCGAGGGUGGCAAUGGGACAAGGCGGUGGACGACGGCUCGAUGCCGACGUAUGACGACUUCAUUGUCGAGUACGCCCACUUCAAGGAAGCCGGGGGAGCAAGCAGCUCCUCUUCGCCGGGCACAUCUACCCCGGCCCCCAAAACUACAUCGACUCCGGUGCCUGCUACGCCGACGGCACCACAACUGGUGACGCCGCAUACUCCAGCCCCGGCAGUCACCACUCCGGGUUCGUCUUCAUCAGCACCAGCUCACGCAGAGCAGAACCCGAUGAAGUUCGCUUCCCCGCUCACUCGCGACGAGGAGCGGGUCGACGCGUAUUAUGGAGGCGAACAGCUGCGGUAUCGCACGAUGGAUGAUCUACUCGGCGACCAGCCGGUGCCGGGACUGAUGCCACGUGACCUGGAGGCGCAGCUACAACUCGCGUGUGAGGACGGCGAACCACGGUCCUUUGCAGAGGCCGAGAAAGAUGCGGCAUGGCGCGCCACGAUGCAGUUGUAG
rnacentral:rRNA from 1 species